rnacentral:tRNA from 1 species
GGGCGAUUAACUCAGUGGUAGAGUGCCACCUUCACACGGUGGAAGUCGCAGGUUCAAAUCCUGCAUCGCCCA